GCAUUAGUGGUGUAAUGGUUAACAUGUAGUCUUCCCAUUAUUUUCUAAGUGAACAAUUUAUGGCCGCGUUCGGGGUUCGAUUCCCCGCUAAUGCA
rnacentral:tRNA from 1 species